CGGGACGGGUGAGUAAUGUCUGGGAAACUGCCUGAUGGAGGGGGGUAACUACUGGAAACGGUAGCUAAUACCGCAUAACGUCGCAAGACCAAAGAGGGGGACCUUCGGGCCUCUUGCCAUCGGAUGUGCCCAGAUGGGAUUAGCUGUAGGUGGGGUAACGGCUCACCUAGGCGACGAUCCCUAGCUGGUCUGAGAGGAUGACCAGCCACACUGGAACUGAGACACGGUCCAG
rnacentral:rRNA from 1 species